UACGGGGGGGGAACCGAAGAACCUUACCAGGUCUUGACAUCUCCUGACCGCCCUGGAGACAGGGUCUUCCCUUCGGGGACAGGAUGACAGGUGGUGCAUGGUUGUCGUCAGCUCGUGUCGUGAGAUGUUGGGUUAAGUCCCGCAACGAGCGCAACCCUUGGUUCUAGUUGCCAGCAUUCAGUUGGGCACUCUAGAGCGACUGCCGGCGACAAGUCGGAGGAAGGUGGGGAUGACGUCAAAUCAUCAUGCCCCUUAUGACCUGGGCUACACACGUGCUACAAUGGAUGGUACAAAGGGCAGCGAAGCGGCGACGCAUGAGCGAACCCCAGAAAACCAUUCUCAGUUCGGAUUGCAGGCUGCAACUCGCCUGCAUGAAGCCGGAAUCGCUAGUAAUCGCGGAUCACGCAUGACCGUCGUU
rnacentral:rRNA from 1 species